CGUUCGCUUGUGGACGAUCAGGUAAACGUAAACCCAGGCCUCCCGUACCGUCACUUCACGCUCGGUUCUUGAAUCAGUCGAGGCAACGCCGUCGAGACGAGUGUUGCUUCCUCUUUCCUUCGAUCGAUCGAUCGCGAUCGCGGAUUCACUUCGUGGACGUAUUUCCAUUUUGGCUGGAAUUUUUUAUUUCUUUCUUUUCCUCGAGGUUUUCGAGGUGAUUUCAUCCGUGACACCGAAGAAUCAUCUGGCUUAGCUAGGACGAUCCGAAAAGAUUUCGAGGAGGCGCAAACAGAAUUGGAAGAAUAAAAGGGGGAGAAUCAUGGAAUCCUGGCUGAGCGACGUGCAACGCGUGAGAAUUCCACGGCCGAAAUUCGGCAGCGGGAACUCGGUGAGGCGGUCCAAUUCGACGGUGCAACACGUGCGGCCGGAAGUGCUUUCGCGGCAGACCCAGGACGUGGCGAAGGCCACCGAGGAGCUACGACAAGCGCUCCAGGACAAGCUCUGACUAGCUGAUCAUCGAUUGGGGGCCACCGUAAAUUGAUCGAGCAAACAAACCCGUGUUCGAGGAUCAUCGUUCAAGGAUUUCACGCGCGCCUCGAGUGUACAAUACCUCUCUCUCUCUUUCUUUCUCUCUCUCUUUCUCUCUCGCCUUCGACAACGAGGACGAAUCGUUUAUAUUCGUGUUAUUCCGUGACAAGUUUCCGGCUUCUCGGAUCUCUGGAUCCGAAGUUGGCUUCUUUUUACUGAAAAAAAAGAAAAAAGAAAAAAAGAAAAGGACAAUGGGGCUCGAGGAUAAACGUUCUCCGGACGCGUAAGUUCCGGAUUUUGUCGAGUGACGAUGAUGAACUGUGGCUCGAGGGAAGAAGUCGCGCGCAGAGGGACGAAUCGGGGUGGGUGGAUGAUGGAUGAAUGUGUUGGUUGCUUAUUCGAAUUUUUGGAUGAAUAAAUUUCGCGUGUCUCUGCUAUGAUCGAAGAGCAUGUCAUGAAAGAGAGUAUAGGUGUAAUAAUUCUUUUUUUUUUUUGUUUUUUUGGGGGGUAAUUAAUAAUAUUUUUCAACUUUAUAAAUAAUGACGCGAGAGCAACGAAAUAUACGUUUUGAUAUUCUUUGUAAUAUUUUCUUUUUUUUUUUUUCGUGCGUCCAGUUUUUGGUCGAAGUGACAACGGAAUUAUUAAUUUUAGAAUAUCGUGACAAAGAAAAAGGGAAAAAAGAAAUUACAUUACGUCGAGAAAAAGAAUUCGAAAAAAUCCAGCGUUCUAUCACGCGCAGAAAACAGAUAUUGAAACGUAUGCACAUGAGUCAGUAUUAGGAAUUAAAUUCGUCCUCUGUAAUCCCAUAUUCGGCGAGAUGGCGAAUCGCCGAUAGUCGCUUUGCGUCAUAAUUUCCAUAUCAUAAGAACAUGCUUUCUCAAUCCUCCCAAUUCUCUUCUGCAAUUUACACGCACGCGGCGUUCAUUUCUUUCGAACGGAGACUGACUGAGAUAAAAAAGAAAAGAGAAAAAAAAAAAAAACACCGUUACUAAAAAGUUACGCAAAGAAAUUCAUCAAUUAUUAAACCGACUCCUUCCACUCCUCUCCAAACCCGCAAUUUUACAACGACCAGACACAUCCUCGAAACAAACAAACAAGCACGCCAAUUAUAAAAUAUUCAAAGAAGGAUCGACUUUUACGACUUUCUCGGGACACACGCAAAGGAAAAAGAACUUCUCCUCCUCAAGGAUAUCAAGAACCAUCUAUACAGCUCGGUCGACGAUCUUGCCGUUUCAAGGCCGGCAAAAGUCCAUCAACGUUAAAACCGCCACGAAAUAGAGACAUUUCGCGAGUCGUCUGGAUCGUCUGGUAUCUGUACAAGGCAUGAUCGAUCGGGGCUGGAUAAUUAAUUCAGGUCUGGAACACCUCCUUCUGGCCUCAGGAUCUACGGGUACACGGUCGGUGGUUCGGAACGUCGAUCGACCUGGCGUGAUCAACGUCCAUAAAUCGAGCUCGUUUCCAGAUGGACCCGUGAGAGAAGAUAUCGCGGUGGAUCAUUGGUACUGGCAGUCAGCCCCUCUGCAUCUUCCUUUCGAUCGAUUUCGAUCGCGCGAGAAAAAAAAAAAAAGAAAAGAAAAAAGAGAACGAGAUGCAUCAACAUAAGCGAGGCUAAUGUUAAUGGGUUUUAAUGGAUUUUGUUUGAUGUGGUGUUUGUCGGUGAAUAAUAAUCGGCCGGUAUCGCGGUGGAAAUUGUUACAAGGGUAUAAAAAUAAUCGAGUGAUCGAGAAGUAUUACGAAAUGAAAAUUAUAUCGUGGAAUAAUUGUAUGGAGAAGAAUGGGGUAUAAAGUUGAUACAAGAGAAAGAUUUGAGAGGAUUAUAGUUCAACUUUUUUGAGGAGAUUAAUGAUUAUAGGGGUAAAGUAGAGGGUAGUUGGUUAGCGAGGGAAAUGAAAUCUCGUAAACGAUGCGAGAUUUUACGACGGAUAAAAUGGUUGGAAUAACGUUUACGCUAGGAGAAAGAAAAAAAAUUUCCGUUUCUCGUCGUGCCGCGGGAUGCGAGGAAAAGAUAGCACGGGAUGAGAAACUAAACGCUUCUAAUCGAAGUGCGCGGUUUGUUCCGAAGCAGUCGCGACCUGGUGACUAAUUAGGGUGGCUCGUUACUCGAAGCAGUUCCUUAAUUGGUCGAUUCUUGCGGGACGACAAUCGAGUUAACGGUUUCUCGUUCAUUUAAAUGCCGCGGUUCAUUGACUCUUGCCAAUCGGCGCUGCCCGAUCGGAAAUGAAAUUUAGCGGGACAAAAAAAAUAUGGAACAAGCAAAGGAAGGUUAAAACUCAUUGCGAAUAAAAUGUAAAGUAUAGAAAUUUGAAGACAAAUACACUGGUAAGAAUAAACGAUAAUAAUUUCAUUUAACAGAAAAACAAGAAAUAAAUCAUCUUGUAUAGAUUCUUAACCCUUAGAACUCUUACGUCGAGGCUCGACGUCACAUUUCUUACACCAAUUCCAAAUUCGAUAAUUAUUCAACCAGCUUCUAAAGUAAUUUAAAAUGUUUUUUUCGUUUUCUUUCGAAUACUUUGUAGCACUUUACACAAUACUUUAUCGAGGCCCUCUUUUUAGAUCCUUUCUGUAAAUAUGAGUCAAGGAGUUGUUGCUAAAAAAAAAAAGAAAAAAUUAAAGAGUGCAAAAAUAGAGAAUACGUACAAUGUUUAAUCAGAAUUGCUCCAAAAUAUGAACAAGAUGGAUUAUUUCAAAUUUCACUAUUUUUAAGCAAAGUAACCCGAUUAAGUUAGAAUAAUUCUCGAAGGAGAAAUUUCACCGUUGUCUCAAUUAUCCAUUUGUUCUGCUCUCAUGCGCAUCGCGUGUGCAUCCUGUACCCUCCUUUUCUUGACAUUAUCACACGCAAAAUACUGGCAGCCAUUAACGCGAGACAAUUGCGCCGUAAUACCACAGGCGGUUCAUAAUCUGGCAAUUCUACUCCUCGUACUUGAACGAAUUCUACAUAGUUGCUAUAGGGCACAACAGAAUUGUUAAUACGUCUGAUAUACACGUACGCCAAGGAAAUACUAGGUAGGAUGGUAUUAAUUUUGAGCAAAACGCUUAGUACCUUGGAGAACAAAAGAUGGGAAUGAACACGUUGAAAUCUUAUUUGUACUUGCUCAGGAUUCGUGAAACGUAUAUUCAUAUGUUUUCUACGUGAUGUUAUUACAAGAGGGAAAUUUAAUUCAAAAUUUUACAAUUGUACAACACAAUUGUAUCCGAAGUAUAUUUUUUAAAACUCGAAAGAAUUAUAAUUUUGUUUGUAUAAUAUCAUUUUACCAAAGAAAAAUUUAGAAAUUAAUUUUCUAAUUUCCUUUAUAUAAUUUCCUUUUAACUCGUUAUUACGUAAACAAAAUUACAUUUAUUUAAAUUAUUUAAAACAUUUCUUUUUACAUUUCUUUUCGUAUUUGAAAGUUUUUCUGUAAUUUUUAAAGGGUUAUAUAAAAUUUAUCACUCUUUCGUAUCAUUAGAAUUAGCUAUCGUCUUCGAUCCAAGUUAUACAAUCAUCCGAGAUGAAUUUUUUAUGAAUCGCGUGCGCUUCGUAUCCUUCGUAAUUUUAUAAACGGGCAUUCAAUAUUUACUACAGGAAACGUCGUUACAUCCCCUAAUACACUCGACUAUCCCAAUACGAUAUCGAAAUUCCUUUCAUUAUUCAUUCCACUUUCCCUGUUCCGAGUAACUUCAUUUUAUCGCGAGAAACACACUUUAAAAUUAAUCCAAGAAUAACAAACGAGUCGCAUUUUAGUUUCAAUUUUAUUACUAACGCGAAAUUUAAUUUUUUGGCAAGAUUAAUAUUGAAUUUUACUCAGGUAAAAAUAUAAUUUUACAUAUCACAAGGUUCAGAAGUCCAAUUCCCUAAAAUUGAUUUAAAGUAAGUUUCAAAAAUCUCUUUAUCGUUUGAACAUCCGUUUCAAUUUUAUCGAUUUGCUAAUCGAAAUAAGAAAAGAUUCUCAAAUUAUUUUCAAAGAAUCCAACCUCUGAACUCCCCGAUCCUUCCCCUAACUUCUCAUCUCUAUUCACUUUUCCACGUAUUAUCGAAUAGUUACAGUGUCAAAUCCGGCCCAGUCGAUCGAAACGGGAGAAAUUCGCGAAAGGAAGAAAGAAGUGUAAGUCCGUAAAUAUAGAGAGACGUGAAAAAGAUAGACUAAUCACUCACCAAAUUGUCCGGAUGAAGAUGAUGGUGGCCGUAAUCCCUCGGGUUCCCCCUCGAGCCACCUGGCGAGCUGUGCCUACGUCCACGCCCGUUCUCCAACUCGUCCUCGUAAUCCUGGAAAAGAAAUGGACGAACAACCCUUUUAUCGCGUUCACCAAUACCGCGAGGAACGUUCAACGGGACAACUUCUCAAGGUCGUGCGUCUCUGCCUCUCUCGAACAAUUUUUCUGUACCUGGUUGUCGCACUCGUCGUCGUUGGAGAGGGCGAGAUCGGAAGUGGUCACUUGGUGCUGCGGCGUCCUCCUGCACCCACCUCUGCAAUGGCCAAAAUUGCGAUUUGAGACGACCCACCCUGUCGAGACUCUCCACGUCUCUCACCCGAUUCUCCUAUAUUUUUUUCCUUUUUUUUUAUAUCGUCUAGAUCUACGAUUGGAUCGUGUUGGAUCGGUUUGCUCGAUAUUUCUUUCUUUCUUUCUUUCUUUUUUUUUUUUUUUUUUGGUUAUAGUUGGUCGGGUGUUCAGGUUCGGAUCGAACGUUUCGGAAUGCGAUUGAUUGCUUAUUAUCGGGGCGGACCGAUUUCUCGAACGAUUUUAUUUUAGUUGGAAAAUGGAAAGAGAUCCGCGUGAGAUCUCUACGUGACGAUAAUUCGAUGGCGAUUUAUAAUCGCGCAGGAGGACUCGAAACUUGAGGAUAUCGUGGCACGAGAAACGGCGGUUUCGAUCGGUGGCUAAAAUAGAACUUUCUAUUCUCUCACGAGGUUGGAAGUUGGACAGAAGAAUGGAAUCGCGUAUAUAUAUAUGUAUAUGAGGGAUGAUCGGCGACAGCAAUGCGGUUAUUUAUAUGUUAUUCGCAUCGAUUAUUUAAUGAGUGCAAAGUCGAACGUACACCCCCGUGGUUAUCGCAUGCCAAAUCUAUUUCCGUUCCCCGGCUCGUCCUUCGUCCAAGUUUCAACAGCCGCAGGUGCCAUCGAUCGAUCGAUGCUAACCAGCCAGGAUGGCGUCGAACAUCCGUCUGAUCGACGAGUUAUGAUUUUCAACGAAUAUUGCAUUCCCCGAUAAAUCAGUUGGAACAGUUCGUGAGCGAGAUUUAUCAAGUGUACAACGAGGUAUUUCAUUGAAAUUUUCUGCAAAUUACCAAUACUUUAUCAAAUUUGAAUUAUCGGUAUUGUUAUGAAAAAUCGAGCAAUGUCUUCGAUUAUUUGAGGAUGAGUUGAGGAUGAAGAUGAAUAGAAUCGCAAAGAAAUUAUAUUAAUUACAUUUCCAAGAAGAAACUAUCUUUCCUCAGAGUACCAAAAAAAUAGAAAAAAAAAGAAAUCGAACAGCAUAACGACGAAUUGCUCAAAUUCUAUAUCCAGAAAUUUAAAAUAAUCAAAGAAUUAUAAUCGAUCGAAUCGCAAAGGAAUGAUUAAUUACGAUAUUUCCAAGAAAUUAUCUUACCCUUUUAUCAGACGAGAAUACACGUUACAUGGUCAAAAAAACUGUAUAAUCGAACUACGUAAAAAUUUCGCGACACGGAAUCUUCACUUUCUUAUAUCUUCCUACACCAGGUUCGUCUCGAAGUGGACGAAGCGACGAAGUGGAGCGAGGAGAAUGAAAAUCUGGCUGUGACGCGAGCACCGACACUUUUUUCCAACCAACGUUUCGUCCGCGUAGCUAUUACGGUACUGCUAACUCUCUCCAAGCUCAUUUGUUUCAUUCUGUUACCCGGGAUACGACCUAGCGUUAGAACUUUGGCCGACCAUAGAACGAAAUUUUCAAGGGCCAUUCGUGUACCUGUGUGUACGUUAUUGCCGCAUAAGAACCGUUAUGCGGUAAAGGGAUUUUCAGAAUCGCGGUGUAUCGUGAUAUUUACGUCAUCUCUACUGUUUCUCCCGUUUUCCUCAUGAUUUUAUAUCGAUUCAAAUAUUUCGAUACCUGUAAAAAGUCAAAUUUUAUUACUAUUAAAAUUAAUUAAAAUAUAUCGAUUGUAAUAUUACGUUCAAUUAAAAAGUAUCCGUUUUUAAAAAAUUUCUUUUACAACGCGAAACAAUUCAAUUUCUACUUUAUUCGAACGAAUCGAAAUCCAAAUAAAUCCGCGUGUUCUCCAUCCCUCGAAGUAAAUGCAAGUUCGAAAUGAAACGUAAACGAAAAUGAGAAAGUGUAAAGACGGAGGAUCAGCAGUGGCAAACAAUAAGAUUGAAAUUCCCGUUUAAACAUUUCGCCUCGAGGUGAGAACAUUUAUCGGGCGAUGCCACGCGAAAUAAUCGGAUACAGGCCCGAUAUAGACUCGAUCAAAUAUGCAAAUCCCAUUUUUCUUCGCUUUCGAUUCGAUCGUUCGUUCACGUUCGGAACGUUUUAUGUAUAUGUUUUCUCUGCUGCCAGCGAAAGAUAUCGAUUGGACGGAAUUUGCUUACGUCCAAUUUCGUGGAAAGACACGGAAUGUCCUGGCCUAUCCAUCACUCCCCGUGCAUGAAUCUAUGUACGCCGAAUUAAUCGAUCUGACCAUUCGUUCCAACACGUAGGAGAAAUUGGCAUUGGACCAAAGAAAUUUUCCACGAGAUCGAAUGGAAUGGAAUUGUUUCUUCGAAUUCUUUGCUAAUGCAUUUCAGAAUGAAAAUAGCUCUCGAGAAUAUUAUAUAUUUCUUUUUCUCUCUUUCUUUUCCUUUCUUUUUUUUUUUCUUUUUGAGAUGAAAAUGAAAGUUAUUCCAAACAGAGUAAUUUGCGGAAUUAUUAUAAUAUUUAUUAUAUUAUAAUCAAGACAACGUAAUUAAAUAAUGAAAAUUUUCUUAUAGCAAACAUUUCUCAAAAUUGUCUCCAAUAGAUUCAAUUCAAUACAGAAAAAGAAGCUUUCAUUAAUAUUUAUAUUCCAAAAAUUUUCACAUUCCAUUAAACCCCAAUUUUCUCUCACAAAAGCAUCCAUCUAUCCAUCCUGAAAAAUAAAAAAGAGAGAUAGAAAACCCUUUGGCAAAUAUUUUCACCUUCGAAAUCGGAUUAAUCGAUGCCUCUUUCACGCUUUCAAGCAUAAAAACUGCCCUCCCUCCUCUCCUUUUCCUUUUCGCCCUCGGAAGAAGCAACGCUAUCUAUCCCGCCUCAUCGAUCUACACUUGACGACGUGCUCCCUUGACCGUACGUAAAAAAAUCCAGGCGAUUCAAUCGACUCGAUCCACGCGAGUCGACCGCCGAUCACCAUCCCCUUCUGCACGCGAGAGUCCAACCACCGCCCACGCGAGCGAGAGUACACACAGAGUACACGAGUACCGGCCCUCGCCAUUUGCCUCGUCCCUCCUGCCACCCCCGCCGUGUGUCUGCUUAUCCGUGUGCACAUACCUGCUGCCAACCAGGUGGCGUCGCCAAGGGGGUGGCCGGUCGAAUGCGGGAGAUAGACGCUAAAGCCAGAUCGAGGCUGGUAGGAAAUGAAAUAUCGAUGUACCUCGUAUAUCCGACAUAGAAACGCCAUUACAGCUAUCCCUGCUUACUGGCAAUUCUGAAUCUUUUCUCCUUCUUUCUUUCCUUUCCUUCUCUCUCUCUCUUUCUCUUUCUUUGUCUUCGCCUCCUCCGUUCUCGCUCCUUUGUUUGGGAGCUGGACAUUCUUGGGACGAAAGGCAUUGGGGAUUAAUCGGCUAAGGGAACGUGUACGUGAGUGGAUGUUGUUGUUUGUUAUCGAGGAAUUAUCGAGAGGUUAGAAAACGAUGUUUUUUUUAAAUUUUGGAAUUGAAAGGAUACUUGUGGAAAUUAAUAACGAGGAGUAGGAAAAUAGAAUUUUGAUAAUGCGAGUCGAUUGGUUUGUUGAAAGUCGAUAAAGGUGGAAUAGGAAGAAUAGGAUAGAAAGUAAUUUUUGAAAUUACGUUUCUUUCCUCGAAUUCGUUCGGAAUCUUUUCUUUCUUUUUUUUUUCCUUGGAAAAAAUAUAAAUAUUUUAAAUAUAUUUCGGAAGUGAGGGCAAUUUGAAAAAUGAGAAUUACGAAAAGGAAAUAAUUCGAGAAGUCGAUCCGCAGCGUGCACGCAAACGAAACGAUUCGAACCAAUCAAGCAACAGCGGUGUCCUUAAAGCCACUCGACGUAAUUCAGUUACUUCAAGUGUAACUGCAAACUUUACUCUGAAUGGUUUGAACGCUCGACUUGGAUUUUCUUGAACUCGCGCUGCAAAUUAAAUAUCACGAUCGUACGACAAAUUAGAAUUUCUUCCUAAGUCGAUCUUCUGAAAGAAUUUCCAAAAAAAAUUUCUUUAUAUUCUCUACUUAUAACUCUUAUGUCGAUAUAUCCAAAUCCAAUACACUUUCAUCGAAGAUGAAAAAUUUCUUUUUAUCCUCGCAUUCUUUUCCAAAGUUUUCCAAAUCCAAUUGUUAUCGAUUCAAAAUUUUAUUGAUAGAAAAUUUGUUGAAAACGAUGCCAACAAUUUUUGUACGGACAUAAGAGAUAAGAAAGGUAUAAAAAAAAAUAAGAUAGAAUAUAUAUAUAUAAGUUGUCUUCAAGAAAAUCAAGAGAGCCUCAAGAGUAUGAGCGAGAAGUGAGGAAAGAUUCUCGUUUUAUUAGAGCCUUCUCGACCUGGUCCUGGGCAUGUCGGCCCCGAGACCGCUGUCCUCGCUGGGUGAUCUAUAUUCCUGGUUAUCCCUUGGCAGGAGAGGUCCUGUCACUCCUAGAGGAUCUCCCUCGACGUCCACCAGUCGUCCCGGACGGCAACAACCACCGGACACACCCCUCUGCGAGAAAUCACCAGAUCCCAUCAUGCUGUUCGCCAUUUCGUAGCCAUUUCUCAGCCCGGUUUCGAUGGCCAACGAGCAAUUUUAUUUCCUCCCUUUUCACUUAACCCAAUCCAUUUCCCCCUUUCAUUCUUAAUCUUUUUUUUUUCUUUCUUUUCUUCAAUCUUUCGAUCAUCCGAUCGAAUUUCUAAUAAAUCGUUUACCUGUUAUUCGAUUGUUUUAAAAAGUUACGAACGAAUAAUAAAUAGAAAAUUCGAAUUUUCUCCCCUUCCAGGAUGAAUCGAUAAAAAGUAAAAAGUAACGAACGAAGAAAUAGAUGAAUAAAAAGAGGAGGAAGAGGAAAAAGAGUGGAAAAUAAAUUUCCAAGAAGAAGCAACUGAAAAUAUGAGAAAAGCGAUAGCUCUGGCCCCUUUGGGAAAUCGUUUAUGGAUUCCCUUUUCCAAGUAAGUAAGCCGAUCGAUCUCGUUCCUAUUCGUGCCAAUCCAUCGAAAGACAGUCAAAAUUAUCGAUUAAUCGGCCACAAAAGCGUCUAAUAUCGCCAAUUCACCGAUGAUCUAUCAUCGAUCCGUCUGGUGAUAUUUGUCGGCGUACGGAUAACACUUGAUUUACGAUGACUUCCGGUUACUCUCUUCCGUUCAAAGAUCACGGAACCGAUGAAUACACGGUCCACGAACCGUGAAACUGUACGGGCAACUGUUCGUCAUUAAUCAAGCGUCAUCGAUUUGUCGAUUGGCCACGAAUGAAAGCAAUCCACGAGUCGAUUUGUUCAUUCACGAAUAUAUAUAAAUAUUUUUUUAAACAAUUAAUGCGAUAAUCGAAUAUGGUCGAAAGUUUGCUCGAUUAGAAAAUUUUAAAGCGUUGUAUUUUUUAUUAAAUUUAUCUCGAGAAUUCUUAUUUGAAUCAUUUUUGAGAACCCGAUGCAGAUAAAUAUUAUACGAUAUAAAUAUUGAAAUAUUUAAUUUUAAAGAAAUAUAUUUUUUUCUUUAAUCAUUAAAUACUUUUAAAAAUUAUUUUUGAUGCAAAAAGAAUAUUCUUACGAAAGUCAAAAGAAAUUCAAUGAUAAUUACGAUGUUAUAUUUUCAUAAAUUCAUUUCUAUUCCAAUUUAUAAAUUCCAAUUUGAGAAAACGUUUUAAGACUCAUCUUUCAAAACGUGAUUUCAAAAUCAAUAAUUCUUGUCUCUCGUCUGCAUCGAGCUUAACGAGCCUUCGACGAAAAUUAUUCUAAUUAGUCCUUCUUCCGACAAGCUAUUCUAUUAAAGAGCUUCGUCAAAUUAAAUUUCACCAACCAUUUACAUCGAUUGCAGAUUCGAACAAAUUGCAUUAAAAUUAAAAAAAAAAAAAGGAACAAAAAUUCUUACAAGCUGGCCACCCUUUACAGCCCCUUGGACAAGCGGAACACAAAGAAUCGAGAAGAAGAUCGAUACGAAAGGAGAAGGCAAUAGUGGAAAGCUAAAAAAAAAAAAAAAACGCUAAAGACACGAAAUUUAGAGAGAACGAAGCUGGAACGAAAAACUGGAGGCCUUCGUCGAAAUAGAAAUCGUUUCCACGAAUGAGAUUAACGGUGUCGCUCGUUCACAAACUCGUUGGCUAUGAAACCGGUCAUCAGCGAGUUAGCCCGAGCUUUGGACCGAGGCUUGCAGGAUCUUUGUGGAUUUGUUUCUUUUUUUUUCUUUUUCUUUUCUCUUCUUUGGAGAUCUCGUGUCCAGGAACGUUUACGAAAAUGAAGAAAGUACCGAGACGUGCGACGAGAGCUGAGUAAAGCUUUCAGGAAACUUUCCAGCCCCUGAAUCGUGACGCACGAGAUGCGAUUAGGCCGAUCCUCAGCCAACUACUCUCAGCAUCUUGCGAUUGAGUGCGUGAUCAGUUGCGAUUCAACCGGAGGAUAUUUCCGAGUUCCUUUGUGAGUGGAAUUUUUGAAUCGGGAUUGAUUUCUUUCUUCUGCAACUGCGUUUUUAAUUUUUUUUUAUUGGUAAAACAAAUAAGAAAGAAAAUAGUAGUAAAUUUUCAAAUUAUUCGAAUUAGCGAUUUCUUUAAAAUCUAUUCGUUGAAUUGGAAAUGAUAUAUUUUAUAUUUUAUAAUUUCAUAAUUUUCUUUUUUUUUUAUGCGUCAACUAAGCCAUGGGAUUAUCGUAUUUCUCGACUUUUACGCUAAAGAUAUUCCUUUAGAAUAUUAAAUAAGAGCGAGAUUGAAACAUAAGAAGAGUGUAAUAGGAUUAAAUAGGAUCAGUCUGUAUUUUACAUUUCAUUGAAUUUUUUAAUAACCAAGUUAAUAAUCUCUAUUCCAUAAAGACGACUUCCAACUACACGAUCCUUUUAUAAAAAGAUGAAAUAAAUAUUCCAACUACGUAAUUUACAGAACCAUUUUCAAAGUCUCGUCAAAAAAAGAUAAAAUCAUCCCUUUUCAAACUCGUCGAUAAUUUUCCUAAUCACGCACUCGACGAAAGCAAGACAUAACGAAACACAAAAAAUCCAGCAAAGCUCAGGCGAACUCGUUCUCGAAAAUCGCACUUUGUACUGUCACCCCCGAUGUGGUUAGCGUGAAAAGAAUAAAAAAAAAAGAAAAAGAAAAAAGAGAGAGAGAUACAGGCAAAAUCAUUCGCAUCUACCAGCUGCAUUCCACGGCCAAAUACCCAAAUUUGCAAGCGUGCGUGUCUAAGACCCAUAGCAUCGCAGAUUCUUUUCAGAAAACCGAGAAUACUCGAAGCCUCGCCAUUCGAUCGUCGCGAAAACGAUCCUUUUUUUUCUUUUUCCUUCUUCUACCAUUCUUUUUUUCCAUCGAGAAUUUUUCUCUCGUUUAUCCCGAAUCUCGGAUUGAAACCGUAUAUAUAUAUAUAUAUAUAGAGCUCGUCGUGAAAACGUUUACUCGCUCCGGCGAGGCUUAAUUGCACGACAUUCAAUCCACGGGCUUCGAAUAUUCGCGCAAUGGCACGGCUGAAGCGGUACGCAAACAAUCUCGACUGCAAAGUCCAAAGAGACGCGGAGGAACGUUGACGAGCGCAGAGCGGAAACGAGGCGACACUGGCUGCCAAGGGAAGCGCUACUAACACUAAGCGAAAUCAUAAACAAAACACAGAUAGACAAAGAAGUUAUAGAGACAGGCAGAGAAUGAUAUAUUCGAGAUAUAUAUAUAUAUAUAUAUAUAUAUAGAGAGAGAGAGAGAAAGAUAGAUAGAAGAAUGAAGAAGGAUGAAGAGAACGAGAGAAAAAACGAAAGUAUAUGUUUUGUUUAGUUUGAAGAAGAAGCGGAAGUAGAGAAGGGGGUUGCAGGAAGAUUCUCGAGUCAUGUUUCACCGGUCACCGUGGUAGCCGAGAGCGAUUAAACGGGGAGAGGAAAAAAAAAAGCUUCAUCUCUGCGUUUUGAGUGGAUAAGAGAUGGAUUUUGGUGAUUUCCUCGAAUGUGUUCUCCAAUGUUGACUUCCUGUCCUCCUUUCGUCCUUUUGAUCUUCUUAUACUUUUUUCCUUCUCGCACCUCUCCAAUCGACUAUGAGCUUCCCUACCUCUCCUCUUCCAAUAUAUAUCCUUCUCUUCUCGUCAUAGUAUAUUUGUCACUUUUUUCCUUUUUCUUUUGUUCAAAUUUUGUUCGUUUUCUUUUUCUUUUCUCUUUUUUUUUUUGGACCAAUCUUUUUUUAGAAGUAAUUAAUUUCACCGUUUCCGAUAUUUGGAAUCUUUCGUGGCUCUGAUUAAAUGUUUAAGGCCCACUGUCCACGAAAAAAUUUAAAUUUUAUAAAUGAAAGAAAACCGAUUUAACAUUAAUAAUAAUAAGUAAUUAUUAGAUGGAAAUUAAUUAUAAAUUAAUUUAUUGAAAAUCGAUAUUCAAGUCAAUUAAGGCCAAUUGCAUUGAUACAAUUGAUAUCUCGCUUGUAACUUUUUCCUUUCCAAUAUCGAAUUCCAUUUUUUAUCAUUACGAUUAUCGCAAAAAGAUUAUCCUACUGUAAUACAUCAUCCUUCUUUUUUCUACUUUAUUACGUCACAUGAUUUAUGGAUUCCCCUUCCACAACGCUAUUCAAUUAUUCCAUUUUUAAUUUUUUCUACUUCAAUCGUCGCGACAUCUAGCGAACAGAGGGCCUAAUACAUUUAACAGAAUGUACAUAUGCACAUCGUUAUACUCUUUUUCACCCGACUCGAGAUCCUUUUCGAAUACGCGCGUUCGGUAUUCGUAAAGGAGAAUCUCCUAGGAGUAGGUCGCUUGCGAGAUUUGGCGACAGGUUAAAAAAAAAAAUAUAUAUAGAAAGAGAGAGAUAAAAGGAGAGAACAGUCACCAGUUAGAUCUAACAGUUACAGUGGACAACGCAGAACAGAGAGUGAGAAAGAUAGAGACAGAGAGUUUUCUAUACAUGUCCCGAAACAGAGAUAGAGAAAAAGAUAAAUAGAGAUAAAUAGAUAGAGAAUAAUCGUGUGAGAUAUCAAUUUACUUACCGGAAGAUCGUGAAGGGAUGGCGUCACUAUUAAAUCCGAAUGGGCACGAUCACCUUUUCUCUGAACAGACAAGAAAAGAAAAACGCUAAUUUAAUUACUAAAUUAAAUUAAUUUAUAUUUUGC